CAUACUGCUGGACCCUCUUCAGCUCAGACUCAGGGAGCAGCUUCUUCAUCUCUUUACUGAGUGUCUCCUCCAGCUGAGCCACAGCUUUCACCACAGUCCCCUCAUAUGAUGAUGGAUGG